AAGUUUUUUUUACCUACUUUUUUAGCCAAAUAGCCAAAAAGUUACUAAAUUAGCCUGUUCCCAAACGAGGCCUAAGUCUCAUUUUAAGAAACUAAAAUAGUCACUUGGUAACUGCACAUGAUCACCACGUGACUAUUUUCUGUUAACUUAUUAAAUGGAGACUACGACAGCCCAAUGUCAAUAAAUCAAUGUUGCAUUUUUGUUAACUAGAUCUUCCAGCAGAUAGUAAUCUCUUGAAGUCGUCUUUUUAUUUUUUCUCCCUCUCUCAUUUGGAAAUUCCUCAAGCCAAAAUGCGUUGUACGUACAAUUUUUUAUAUAGUAUUUAUUUCUUUUAACAUGGUGGAAAUGUGGCUGUGGAUGCAGUGAUGGUUUUUGGGAUGUUGUUAACUCCAAGAAGGCAAAUCAGCUUGUCCAACAGGCAAGGGAGAGAUAUGCUGCAGAUAGAGAAAAUCCGGCAGAAAAAGUAGCUAGUUUUUUGUUGAGCGAGGCCAGAACACAACGUACAAAAGAUAACACGUCUAUUAUUUUCUUAGAUUUUGACAACAUAAAUAGAAACUCUUCUUGUAAACCAGAUUCUUAGAAUUAGCUUUUAUGUAAAAUAUUGUAAUUUUUAUAAUUUUAUUUAUUUUUUCUCUCUCUGAAAUAAGUCUCUCUCCUUGCGUUUCCUUUAAA